rnacentral:rRNA from 1 species
GACGAACGCUGGCGGCGUGCCUAAUACAUGCCAGUAGAACGCUGAAGAGAGGAGCUUGCUCUUCUUGGAUGAGUUGCGAACGGGUGAGUAACGCGUAGGUAACCUGCCUUGUAGCGGGGGAUAACUAUUGGAAACGAUAGCUAAUACCGCAUAACAAUGGAUGACACAUGUCAUUUAUUUGAAAGGGGCAAUUGCUCCACUACAAGAUGGACCUGCGUUGUUUUAGCUAGUAGGUGAGGUAAUGGCUCACCUAGGCGACGAUACAUAGCCGACCUGAGAGGGUGAUCGGCCAACCUGGGACUGAGACCCGGCCCAGACUCCUACGGGAGGCAGCAGUAGGGAAUCUUCGGCAAUGGGGGCAACCCUGACCGAGCAACGCCGCGUGAGUGAAGAAGGUUUUCGGAUCGUAAAGCUCUGUUGUAAGUCAAGAACGGGUGUGAGAGUGGAAAGUUCACACUGUGACGGUAGCUUAACAGAAAGGGACGGCUAACUACGUG